AGUGCAAUUGCUGGGUCAUCAGGUAGUUCUAUUUUUAAUUUUUUGAGGAACAUCCAUACUGUUUUCCAGAGUGGCUGCACCAGUUUGCAUUCCCACCAGCAGU
rnacentral:pre_miRNA from 1 species